rnacentral:rRNA from 1 species
AACGGCGGCUGGUUCUACAACACCAACUCCUGGCCCACCGACAAGAACUUCAAGGCCAGCAACUCUGCAGUGUUUAAGUACGGCGUGAUGGUCCACGACAUGGUGGCGGUCAGCACAGCGGGGUACAAGGCAUGCACUAAGCUGACCAAGGGCGCCAAGAUGUACAAGUCAGGCUCCGACCGUGUGACGCUUGCAUAUGCAGCAAACUACUUCAUCUGCAGCAUCCCAGUACACUGCCAGUCCGGCAUGAAGACCGUGGUCACUUCCGCCUAG